rnacentral:misc_RNA from 1 species
GAUGAAGAACGUAGCGAAAUGCGAUAAGUAAUGUGAAUUGCAGAAUUCAGUGAAUCAUCGAAUCUUUGAACGCACAUUGCGCCCCCUGGUAUUCCGGGGGGCAUGCCUGUUCGAGCGUCAUUUCACCACUCAAGCCUCGCUUGGUAUUGGGCAUCGCGGUCCGCCGCGCGCCUCAAAUCGACCGGCUGGGUCUUCUGUCCCCUAAGCGUUGUGGAAACUAUUCGCUAAAGGGUGUUCGGGAGGCUACGCCGUAAAACAACCCCAUUUCUAAGGUUGACCUCGGAUCAGGUAGGGAUACCCGCUGAACUUAAGCAUAUCAAUAACGGAGGA